rnacentral:rRNA from 1 species
UACAGAGGGUGCAAGCGUUAAUCGGAAUCACUGGGCGUAAAGCGCACGUAGGCGGAUUGCUAAGUCAGGGGUGAAAUCCUGGAGCUCAACUCCAGAACUGCCCUUGAUACUGGCGGUCUCGAGUCCGGGAGAGGUGAGUGGAACUGCGAGUGUAGAGGUGAAAUUCGUAGAUAUUCGCAAGAACACCAGUGGCGAAGGCGGCUCACUGGCCCGGUACUGACGCUGAGGCGCGAAAGCGUGGGGAGCAAACAGG